AGUUGACCAUUGGUGGUCCAGACCUUGAGUUGAUCAUCGCUGGUGGGGUUGGAUCAGUCCUGGACUGGUCCAUCCCAGUUGUACUGGGUGGGAACUGGUGGGGUCGAUCUUGAAGACUUCGAUUGAUCAUUGGUUGGGUUGAUUUUCUUGGAGCCCCUGGUUGACCAUUGGUGGUCUGUUGGAGGUCCAGCCCUGGAGUUGGUCAUCACUGGUGGGGUCAGACCAGUCCUGGACUGGUCCAUCCCAGUUGUACUGGGUGGGAACUGGUGGGGUUGAUCUUGAAGACCUCGAUUGACCAUGGGUUGGGUUGAUCUUGAAGACCUCGAUUGACCAUGGGUUGGGUUGAUCUUGAAGCCCCUGGUUGACCAGUGGUGCUCCAGAGCUUGGGUAGGUC
rnacentral:lncRNA from 1 species